UGCACUCACUACUGUAAGUCGCUCUGGAUAAGAGCAUCUGCUAACUGACUAAAA
rfam:Salmo salar isolate Sally breed double haploid chromosome ssa19, whole genome shotgun sequence.